CGGCACCAUGGCACCUGCCGGACACCCGGGGGCCAAGAGGGGGAUUUUGGAGCGCCUGGAGAGUGGGGAGGUUGUGAUUGGAGAUGGCAGCUUUCUCAUUACUCUGGAGAAGAGAGGCUAUGUGAAAGCUGGGCUCUGGACUCCAGAGGCAGUGAUAGAACACCCAGAUGCAGGUUGGUGUCCACAUCCCCAAGAGUGUCUACCUGAGUGGUAUUUUAUUUAAAUCUGAUUGAGAGAAGAUCAAGAAAAAAAUAACAACUGUUUCAAAGGGGUGUUUUGCUUGCUAAAAUUGCCAAGAUGUGGAGAUAAUGGCAGUAUGCAGGCAGAAAUAUAUGGAAGAAAAUGACCUCUCUCUUCCUUUCUCUCUGUCUCAUACACACACCUACACACAUCACAUAUCCACACAUCCACAUGCCCACACACACUCCCACACACACACACCCAUGCACUCACACCCCAACCCCACAUCCACACACACCCCACAUACACACCCACACACACCACAAACACACAUACAUACCCACACAACACACUCUCUCACACACACACCCACACACACUCUCAUACACACACACAUCUGCAUCUUAAUGUACAGGCAGUGCUAAAAUAGACAUCUUAAUAUUUGUUCCAUGAAUAUUUACCUUGUAGAUAUACAGAGUUUCCUUAAAACAGCAAAAUUGUUCCUGCUUCUGAUUCACCCUGCUGACAAUGUGCAUGGUUAA
rnacentral:sRNA from 1 species